GAUGAACGCUGGCGGCGUGCCUAAUACAUGCAAGUCGAGCGAACGGACGAGAAGCUUGCUUCUCUGAUGUUAGCGGCGGACGGGUGAGUAACACGUGGAUAACCUACCUAUACGACUGGGAUAACUUCGGGAAACCGUAUCUAAUACCGGAUAAUAUUUUGCACCGCAUGGUUCCAAAGUGAAAGACGGUCUUGCUGUCACUUAUAGCUGGAUCCGCGCUGCAUUAGCUAGUUGGUAAGGUAACGGCUUACCAAGGCAACGAUGCAUAGCCGACCUGAGAGGGUGAUCGGCCACACUGGAACUGAGACACGGUCCAGACUCCUACGGGAGGCAGCAGUAGGGAAUCUUCCGCAAAGGGCGAAAGCCUGACGGAGCAACGCCGCGUGAGGGAUGAAGGUCUUCGGAUCGUAAAACUCUGUUAUUAGGGAAGAACAUAUGUGUAAGUAACUGUGAACAUCUUGACGGUACCGAAUCAGAAAGCCACGGCUAACUACGUG
rnacentral:rRNA from 1 species